AUUCCACUUGCCAAUUCAGUUCCCGCCUUAUCCAAAACAUCUUAUGCCAUUUCAUGAGGUCCUCCAACAACCUCAUAAGAGGUUUAUAGAUGUAAUAGGAAUUGUCAUUCAUUUGGCGCCGUUAGAGCACAUCGGUGGAAGGCCGUACAGAGAGGCCAUACUAAUGGAUUCCAGGUGGGAUAUAAUCGUCGUGGGUAUAUGGCCUGAACUGUUGCAAAGAAAUGCUCUACGGUGGGUGUUAGCUAGAGAAAACAAGAGCAUAAUUAUCG